rnacentral:miRNA from 1 species
UACAGUAGAUGAGAAGCAGUCCU